GAUGAACGCUGGCGGCGUGCCUAAUACAUGCAAGUCGAGCGAACAGACGAGGAGCUUGCUCCUCUGACGUUAGCGGCGGACGGGUGAGUAACACGUGGAUAACCUACCUAUAAGACUGGGAUAACUUCGGGAAACCGGAGCUAAUACCGGAUAAUAUAUUGAACCGCAUGGUUCAAUAGUGAAAGACGGUUUUGCUGGCACUUAUAGAUGGAUCCGCGCCGCAUUAGCUAGUUGGUAAGGUAACGGCUUACCAAGGCAACGAUGCGUAGCCGACCUGAGAGGGUGAUCGGCCCCCCUGGAACUUAGACACGGUCCAGACUCCUGCGGGAGGCAGCAGUAGGGAAUCUUCCGCAAUGGGCGAAAGCCUGACGGAGCAACGCCGCGUGAGUGAUGAAGGUCUUCGGAUCGUAAAACUCUGUUAUUAGGGAAGAACAAAUGUGUAAGUAACUAUGCACGUCUUGACGGUACCUAAUCAGAAAGCCACGGCUAACUACGUG
rnacentral:rRNA from 1 species